UACGUAGGGGGCAAGCGUUGUCCGGAAUUAUUGGGCGUAAAGGGCGCGUAGGCGGCUGUACAAGUCAAAGGUGAAAUCCCUCGGCUCAACUGAGGAACUGCCUUUGAAACUGUACGGCUUGAGGCCGGGAGGGGGUAGCGGAAUUCCCAAUGUAGCGGUGAAAUGCGUAGAUAUUGGGAGGAACACCAGUGGCGAAGGCGGCUACCUGGACCGGUUCUGACGCUGAGGCGCGAAAGCGUGGGUAGCAAACAGG
rnacentral:rRNA from 1 species